UGAAUACGAGAUGCUACGGCGUCGAAGCAGUCUAUGUCAUACUUCCAAGAAAAGCUUGCACUGUCAUAAACAAAUAAUGCCUGUACCAUAACCGACACAGGUGGGUAGGUAGAGUAUACUAAGGGGCGCGAGAUAACUCUCUCUAAGGAACUCGGCAAAAUGACUCCGUAACUUCGGGAGAAGGAGUGCCUUAUUUAUAAGGUUGCAAUAACAAGAUCCAAGCAACUGUUUACCAAAAACACAGGUCUCCGCUAAGUCGUAAGACGAUGUAUGGGGGCUGACGCCUGCCCAGUGCCAGAAGGUUAAAGAAGUUGGUUAGCAUCCGCGAAGCUGAUAACUGAAGCCCUGGUGAACGGCGGCCGUAACUAUAACGGUCCUAAGGUAGCGAAAUUCCUUGUCGGGUAAGUUCCGACCCGCACGAAAGGCGUAAUGAUUUGGAUACUGUCUCGGAGAGGGGCUCGGUGAAAUAGACUUGUCUGUGAAGAUGCGGACUACCUGCACCAGGACAGAAAGACCCUAUGAAGCUUUACUGUAACCUGAAAUUGAAAUUGGACUUUACUUGCGCAGUAUAGGUGGGAGGCGUUGAGAAUAUUCUUGCGGGAUUAUUGGAGCCAUCAGUGAGAUACCACUCUUGUAAUGUUAGAUUUCUAACUUUGUAUCAUUAUCUGGUCAAAGAACAGUUUCAGGCGGGCAGUUUGACUGGGGCGGUCGCCUCCUAAACGGUAACGGAGGCGCACAAAGGUUUCCUCUGAACGGGUAGAAAUCGUAUCUAGAGUGUAAAGGCAUAAGGAAGCUUGACUGUGAGACCUACAAGUCGAGCAGGGACGAAAGUCGGUCUUAGUGAUCUGACGGUGCUGAGUGGAAAGGCCGUCACUCAACGGAUAAAAGUUACUCUAAGGAUAACAGGCUGAUCUCCCCCAAGAGUUCACAUCGACGGGGAGGUUUGGCACCUCGAUGUCGGCUCAUCGCAUCCUGGGGCGGUAGUACGUCCCAAGGGUUGGGCUGUUCGCCCAUGAAAGCGGUACGCGAGCUGGGUUCAGAACGUCGUGAGACAGUUCGGUCCAUAUCCGGUGUAGGCGUUAGAAUAUUGAGAGGAGCCUUCUUUAGUACGAGAGGACCGAGAAGGACAUACCUCUGGUGUACCAGUUAUCGUGCCAACGGUAAACGCUGGGUAGCUAUGUGUGGAGUGGAUAACCGCUGAAAGCAUCUAAGUGGGAAGCCCACCUCAAGAUAAGUAUUCUCAUC
rnacentral:rRNA from 1 species